AUGGCAAAAACUCAAGACUGUGGACUCUUAAAAGCUCUUGGCUGCCGCGAGGAUGCUCUCCACAGUGAUGCCGUACUCCUGGUAGAUCUUUCCAGCAGGAGCACUUGCACCGAAUUUGUCGAUGCCAAUGGCCUUGCCCUGGGCUCCGACGUACUUCUGCCAUCCGAGAGUAGACCCUGCCUCAAUACUGAUUCUCGCAGAAACAGACGCAGGGAGAACGCUCUCCUUGUAUUCAUCUGACUGCUCCUCGAAAAGCUCCCAGGAAACGAAUGACACAACACGGACGGUCUUCCCCUCCUUCCUCAACUCAUCAGCAGCCUUGGCAGCAAUCUCCAGUUCAGAACCGGUACCCAUCACAAUGAGGUCAGGCUUGUUGCCAGUUGAGUUGUCAGAGAUGGUAUAUCCACCCUUCUCAACACCCUCAAUUGAGGUACCAGGCAGAUUAGGAAGCUUUUGCCUGGAGAGAGCGAGAACAGAUGGCCUCUUCCUGUUGAGAACUGCAACUUUGUAUGCUCCAGCGGUCUCAUUACCAUCAGCAGGACGGAGCAUCAAUAUGUUGGGCAUUGCGCGGAAACUCACCAAGUGCUCAAUGGGCUGAUGGGUCGGACCAUCUUCUCCGAGACCAAUAGAGUCGUGGGUCAUAACAUAGAUAACUCCAGCUUCAGACAAAGCUGAGAUCCUCAUGGCACCUCUCAUGUAAUCGGUGAAGACAAAGAAAGUAGCACAGUAUGGAACAAACCCUGGGCUGUGCAGAGCAAUGCCAUUGCAAAUGGCACCCAUUCCGUGCUCCCUGACUCCAAAGCGGACAUUGCGCUCCUCAGGUGUAUCCUUCUGGAAGUCACCAAACAUCUUAAGCAAUGUCAUGUUGGAGGACGCCAGAUCAGCACUACCUCCAAUAAGACCAGGCACAACUUUAGCAAGUGCGUUCAAGCACUGCUGGGAGAGGUUCCUGGUGGCAUCUCC
rnacentral:lncRNA from 1 species